AUCAGGAUCUGUCUGUAUCCUGGAGUUCUAAGGAGACAGGACAUAUGCCAGCCUGACCAGAGCUUGAUUAGCAGCUCUAUGGCUCCAUCUCGGGGCCAGUAGGGCAGUAGAGGACCGUUCUUAGCUGGGUACACUCGCUGGGAUGGCAAGCGGUUGUCUGAC
rnacentral:sRNA from 1 species